CAUACGUGCUCGUCAAGUCUUUGUUUCAAGUGGCAAAGGGCUUGGUGGUUGGUAUCCGAGACCCAAUUAAGUUCGAAUCCUAAUUGAUUCACAUUUCCAGCUAAGUUUAUUUCUAAAUGAAAUAAACGAAGCGGGUAGCGUGCUAUCUAUCUCUCUCAAAAAAAAAAAAAGUCUUUGUUUCAAGAAGCAGACUUAUUUUAAGAUUAAUGCACAAGCAGAUCAAGAGAAACGAUAUAUACCUUACUCCGAUUUAAUAUAUAGCUUGGUCGUGUUUAGUGUUUUUCUUUUAAUUAUUUACUCAAAAUCUUAUAUUUGGCCGUAUAAUUAAACAUCUUUUUAAUUUAUUCAAGAAGCUUGCAGAAUUUGAUAAAUGAGGAGUGUGAUCAAAUACAUAUCUAGCUUUCAAGUUCUUUUUUUUUUUUUUUUUUUUGAAAUAAUUAAGGUAAAUCACAUAUAAUUAGCUACAAAAAUACUAUCCUAUCAGAACCCUGAUGCUAAGAUCUUUGAAGGAACAAAUUAAACAACAUGUUCUUUGGUUUUGAUCAAAAUAGGAAAAAAAAAAAUUCUACCACUGAGUAAGUUAUUAUUGAAUAAUUUAUUCUUGGCGUCCAAACAAUACGAUAGUUUUUUUUAUAGAUAAUGAGUCGUAUCGAUCACCUUGUUUUUAGAAAUACAAACAUAAUCGUCCUUGAUGUUAUUUUCUUGGAAGUAGGUAAAAAACGCCCUACUAGGUGGGAUAUGCUAUAAUAUGAUCGAUAUGAAAUCACGGUCGGCAAGAUCUUCCGAGGAUCGAGUUACUAAAAUCAAACUUCUAACUUUUAAUUAUGAAAUGAAAUAUAAAAUCUUCAUGGCGCACAAGUUGUUAACGAGUAACUUAUCCUAAUGUUCAAAGUAGGCUUUAAUCUUAAGCAUGAAACUAGAUUUCUGUUCUCAACUGUAAUUAAUUUACUAAUGGAGGACAUCGGAAAAAAAAAUUAAGAAUGCAUAGGGGCUUGCUCAUGGGCCGCAUGUAGUAGCACAUAUUACUUAGAUUAAGGGCUAGGCCAUGUGUGAGGGUUUUGUUUUGUAAGCACCAAAGCACCAACAUGUGGCCCUCUUUUCUUGGGCUAAAAUAUUCUCUACACCGGAGACACUGUUCGGAAAUAACUGUUUUUUUUUUUUUUUUUUUUUUUUUUUUUUUUNNNNNNNNNNNNNNNNNNNNNNNNNUGAAGAAUACAAUGAAGUUCCCAGUGGUUCGACCAAUUCGACACUCGCCACUUACCCAUUAGUACUAUUCAUGGCAUAAGUGUUUCAAAGGAAAGGAAAUGUAACCAAGUAAUGUAAUAUUAUGCCUGCAAGAAAGAUGUCAGUGGAAUAUAUAAUCGAAUAUAAAUUGCUCAUGCAUGCCAUGCUUGUUUCAUAAUACUUUUGCCUUUUACCCAGUUUGCCAUUAACACUUGUUAACCCUACUGAACUCACAACCGAAAUCGCCUUAAUACGGGGACUCGAAACCACCCUAGGGGACCGUCCUCUAGGGACUUUACCACGCCAGUGUGACAAUCCGUAACGCACCGCUCGAGUGGGGACUCACAUCCCUCAGCCAAAGACUUAUCGUGAGUAUCGAUCCAAUCUCAAUUGAGGAUCAUAGCCACUUAGUCACAAUGCCAUUUGUCAUAAUAGGUUCUACAUCCUAUUUGUUCAUGUCACUUUCUAAGUCAAUACUUGUACAAUGUCACUAUGGUUGAAUUAGUUUAGGCAACCAAUUUUCUCAAUGCCAAUUAUGUUUCUAUUGUCUAACUACACUCUUUGUUCUACUAUGUCUAAGUCCAAGUUCACAUUCAUACAACUUUAGGGUUCUAUCCAUAACAUGUCCAUUAUGAGUCUUCAUUCUCUAUGUUCAACACGUUUAGAAGCCAUGUAAAUGAAAUCAAACGCAAGAUUCACAUGUAAUUUAACGCCUACUAUGCAUGAAUGACUAUACAAACACAAUUAUGCUCAAUAAAAGGUAAAUACGACAUAAGGGGAAUCCGAAUGAUUCCGGUGUGCACUCCCACCUUGAGUGGUAGUAGUAUUGAAAAAUACAAUGACUCCCGAACUUUACGAACGCGAUCAAGCGUCCUUAAUAUAUAGCAAAUAGUGCACAAUUAGGCCUAUAUACACAAACUAUACUUAGACAUUUUCGUUAAGUCGAACGGACGAUUGUCCAACGGAUCGGGAUUACCCCAGAAUUAAGGUUUCCAAGGUGUCAAUUUGCCCUCGGAACACCCGGGGCAUAAAGCCCAAUUUGGCUGCCCUAAAAUGCCAUAUUCGAAUUUCUCCUUAGAUUGAUCUCAACUUUAAGCAAAAUACUAGCUUAAGGAAUCACCUAGGAAGCUUCUAAUAUCAUAUUCCAAGAUACUGACACCAUCCUUAGGCAUGCUAACUAAUCCCGUAAUUAACCCCCAUGACGAGCCAGCAUGAAGAAACCAUGGGAUGUUCAUGGGUUCCAAGCUCUACUAUACUCUUAAAGCCUCUAAGAGUGACCAAAACUCCAAUCCUUAAGGUUUAAAUCCUAACCCUAGAGGAGUUUCAUGCACAAAAUUUACCAUUAAGCCUACGAGCUCACCAAGAUCCUUGCAUUGUUGGAGAGCCCUAAGAACGACCAAGCCUCCAAAAAACCCAUUCUCCACGCUCUUCUCCUUCUUCUUCUCUCUUCUACGAGAGACGAGAGAGAGAUAUAUAUAUAUAUAUGAGAGGGAUGUAGAGGUGCAGAGAAUGAGAGAAAGAACUUUCUCUAUCAGCUAUUCAUACCCUAUUCAUGCAUAUAUUGCACUUAGGCCCCAACUUUGCCUCUCUCAACCAGCCUUGCCUGGCAUUUUUCGGCGCUGGGGACGCCGGUCGCUCUGUCGGAGUGACCGGGCCCGAGAGCAAUUCCCGCAGACAGUACGGAACCGUGUCCUCUCCCAUUGGGGACGCGUUGCAUCGGGCGCGCUGCGCAACCAUCAGCUACGGGGACCGGUCCUUGCUCGAGAGACGCUGGUCCUUCGAGAGCAACUCGCACAGAAAUGCAGCUUCCGCAUUUUUCACGCGUACAGGACGCGGUCUUCCAAUCAGGGACGGUCCCGCGAGCCAGAAAAAUGCAGUCUUGCAGCAUGCUUUAGCCUUGCUCUCUGAAGACCUUUAUAAUGCCACUUUUGCUCUUUUUGACCGCUCUUCGGCCUUUUCCGAAGCGUUACAACCUGCGCACUUUGGUCAUUUUGAUAUAGUUCGAUAUUCGUUUACGGACGAGUUUCCGGUAUAACUUACAAAGUUAUUGAAUUUGUGAAGUAGAAUAGAGUAACUGCUGUAAGGAAAUUUAAGUAGAGUGACUAUCUAAGUAUCAUGAGUACUUAUAACCAAACCUUUAGCAUUACAAAGCUACCUAUAUGGACAAGUUGGAGUCGAAAUGCAAUGUUUAUAACGAUGUGAAUGAUGACUUACGUUUAAUUCCUUUUGUUCCUUUAUAUAAUGAAGAUUAGACGUGCUCAGAAGUUCAAAUCCAUUCCAACGGAAUCUACGCGCGCUAAUUACAAUAGGCGUCGUUCUAGCUUUAUUCACAUCGGACUCACAGGAGUCGAUACUUGUGAGCUUCGAGACAUUGUGUUCUAACGUUCGGUAUCCCUAUAGGUGGGUUGCUAUCCGAAAUCUUCGAAUCUCUCUUUAUGUCUAUGUCAUCUCGUUGAGCAUCUCUAUAUAUGUGCAAUUGUAUCAUAUUCAUGCAUUAUAGGGAAAGGGUCAAUUAUGCAAUUGAAUUCCGUCAGUGUUAAAGAACAUUGGGCACUAGAACAUGAACGCAGAACCUAUGAAUGUUGAAUUUAUUGAGGACUAAUGACAAUAGUAAAUUUGUGACAUCAUGCUAGAGAUCUUGUUGUAGCAUCGAGAGUGAAAUUGUAAAACUAGCACAAAGAGCUAGUUAGAGUAAAGUGUGGCAUUGUCAUGCAUUGGACCCUCUACAAAGAGCGAUUAGAUCAUACUCACAAAUGUCUUAUGUGUUAUAGGAUCUUGUAUUGGCAGUUUCGUGAAGUGAGUCGAGUCUUGAAGAACCGGUACAUAUCGCGAAGAUCGAAGAAUUCAAGAUUUCGAAGAAGUUGGAAAAUAACUCACGAUAUGAAUCACGAUGCUCAGGUAAAGUUUUAAUUCAUGUUAUGGCUGAUUCAUACUUAGUUAUAGGCAUUAGAAUCAUUUAAUCAAAGUAUAGUUGAUUAGAAAGUGCUUCGAAGUGUACGGAACUCGAAAUAAGCAAAAUCCAAAAAAUUGCAUUGUGUACCGGUACAGCUAAUCAAGCGCGUACCGUGUACAGCCACUGACUUGGCUUCGUAUUUCUGUUCGUCCUUGUGUAACCGGUGACAGCCUUUCGUGUACCGGUACACAGUGUAAAACCGUGAAAACUUUCUAAUUCGACUCCGAUUGAUUCUAAAGUCUAUAAAAAUAAGCUAUUGGGUUCUCUAACAAAGCAAGCAUCAUAAGAAUACAUGUUUUGAGAAACUCCUAGAGGCUCGGAUUUUAUUCUAAACCUAUUUUCUUACAAAUUAGCCUCUUUUAGAUCAAAUCGAGAUAUCGUUUUGCAUUCUCUAUAUGUCGAUUUGAUCUCCGCUUCGCUUGGAGUUUUCUUCCUUGGUUUUCUACGAUACUCCUAAGCAAUGAUCACCAUAAUCAUGAUCUCUUCAAUGACGGCGUCGUGGAUUCGGCGUGUUAUGACGCGGUUCGUGGAUUCGGAUCGUGGGCUCGUGAUAUCGAGUGCGUGGAUUCGCGUGAUUGAAGCUUGUGGAUUCGAAGUGGAGGCGUUCGUGGAUUCGUACGUGAGGGCGUGACAACCCGUGAGGGUAGCGCGAAGAUUCAUAGGAGGUUAAGAGAGGUUGAGUCCCGUGGACGGUACGUAAUCACCUUGUAAUCUUUUCUCUUAGUGAAUUGUUUUUUCGCGUGUUGGUCCGUGGUUUUUCUCCAAGUUGGAGUUUUUCCCACGUUAAUCUCGGUGUGCUUUUAUUUUUCGUAUUUAUUUUUAUUGCAUCGAGAUUUGUGGUUUUUUGGCCAUUACACCUAUUACACCCCCUCUAGGUGAUAGAUACAAUCUAGAUAGAUCCUUGGGCUCCUCAAACUUUCAAUUGUAUCAGAGGGAUCUAGAUAAAUUGUUAUCUAAUGGCCGAAGGUGGUAACAUUAAUCGAUCUCGUCCUUCGACGGACGAAUUAUGCUUAUUGGAAAGUUCGCAUGAGACUUUUUCUAAUUGCUAUCGAUAAGCGGUUUGGACAUCAAUUGAAUUUGGGUGAAACAUCCGAUAGAAAGGUCGAUAAUGUUGAAAAGCCAAAACCACGGAACAAAUGACGAAAGAAGAAAACGAGUCAUCUUCGUUAACGGCAAGGGCAUAAAACUCUAUUAUUUAAUGCAUUGUCUUCAAACGGAGUUUUACUCGCGUUUCGGCGUGUGAGACCGCCAAAGAAAUUUGGGAUACUCUACAAGUUACGCAUGAAGGAAUCAAGCUUAGUAAAGGUCCAAAAAUUGCAAAUGUACUAGCAAGUUUGAUUCAAUUUUUAUGGACGAAAACGAGACCUUUUACCGAUUACUAUACGCGUCUACAAACGUGGUCAAUACAUGCGCUAACUUGGAGAGAAAUCCCGGAUGCUAAAGUUGUGCGAAAGAAUUCUUCGAACAUCUUCCGGAACGCUUUCGCGGCUUAAAGUAGCGCGAUCGAAACGGUCAAACAUCCGGACGAGAUGAAAGUAGAAGAAUUAGUAGGAGCUUUACAAACGUAUGAAAUGACUUUUCCUACUAAUCAAUCUUCUUCCAAUUUCUCUAAAAGCACAGGGGUUGCAUUGAAAUCUACAAAGAGAAAGACGCUACGACUCGGAUUCCGACGGAGAUAUUUUCGCUUGCCGAUUUGAACAUCAAUUAGCCGCGUCCUCCACCGAAGAAAUUUCGCCGAAAUUUUCGAAAAGAAGAAUAAUCGCAAAAGGCUUCAUCGUCUAAAUCUUCAUCGUCUACAUCUAAGAGAGAAAAGCGUGCAAAGGCUUCGAAAGAAAAAGAUGUCUUUAGUGCGAGAUCCAAUGCUUCAAGUGCAAGGCUUACGGUCACAUUGCGACGGAUUGUUCCUUCAAAGCAGACGUAUAAACAAAAGGCUAUGCAAGCAAAGACGUGGGAAUGAUUCGACAUCAAGUGAAUCAUCGUCAAAGUGACGAAGAAAGAAUGAUCAAAUCGCCUUAUUUGCUAAUACCUUCGUCGAAUGUUGUGUUGUUUAUCCUCUAUCGCUACUAAUUCUAAUGUUUCUUUUUUCCUCGCAUGAUUCAUCGAGCGACAACAGACGAAAGCGGGAGGAUUCGAACGACGAAGAAUAUAGCGGAAGCUUACAAGCUACUUCUUAUUGAAUCAAAGAAGAAUGGCUAAAUUAAAUAAGAAGUUAGGCGUCGUUAUGUUGAAUCUUGAAGAGGAUAACAACAACUUGAAACCACGAACAAAGUCUCGAGGAGGAAAGGGAAUCAAUUUGAAAACGAAUUCGACCUCUCGGGAAGCUUAAUGAAGCGGAAUCAACGAUCAAAUCAUAUAAAGACAAGGUUGGAUAUUUUGAGCAACAAUUCGAGGAAUCAAACACAUCAACAAGUCUUUGACCGAUCAAGUUCGUCAACUUCAAUCCGACAUUCAACGUUUUUCUUCCGGAUCAAAGAAAUUGGACCAUAUGCUCGGAUUGGGUCAAACGAACAAGCUAGGCCUUGGAUAUGAACGGACAUAUUGUUGAGAAGGAUCAAACGACAACAUCUAAAGUCUCAACAACUUUAAAAGGCAAAGUGUGUCAUCGAUGUGGAGUUAACGGUCACAUCAAAAGGAAUUGCCCCGUGAAAGAUAAGAUAGAAACAAUUGGCACAUGUCUACACAUCGAUCGACACUAUCAAAACUCCAUUGACAUCGUCUACAACUCAACUUCUCCCCGAGGAACUUCAAAAGGAAAAUCCAAUUAGUCAGGACCUCAAAAGAAUCAGAUUCCUAAGCCUAAACGCCAAGUUCUACCUAAGCCUCCAGCGAAGAAAAUACCAACGAUUGAUCUAAAAUCUAGCAAACGGCACCAAACGUCGACAAGCCGAGAAAACCUAAGAUCCGACAAUUUGGAUCCGGAAAGGUGAUAUCUUUCCUUGCUCCUCGUCUUAGUCAUUGUGAUCUUAGUGUAAUGCUUUGAUAGGUGCUUGUUGCUUAAUUUUAUUUUCAUUGCAUUAACAUGUUUACGUGAUGUUUUUGGUGUUUGAAUUUUAUUGGUUUAAAUCUUUUGAGGAAAAGGUGUUUAGGAAUUCAAUUUUUGAGAAAGGGAUGAUUGAGAAUACUUUAUUUUGAGAAGAGAAUUUCUUUAAUGUGCUGUAAACGGUAUUAAUCUUCACCAUCAUAUUGAGUUAUAAAUUCAUAUUAAUUAUCGUUUUUACUCCACUUUUAUUAUUUUGACGAUAAUUUAUCUAUAUGAUUUUUAUUGCAUAAAUUCAUCAAAAUUUUUGAAAUCAAAUUUGAUUUUUUGAUGAUUAACUCAUCUUGGUUGUAAGUGUUGGAUAUGAUGCAAUGGAUCUUCUCUAAUUGACUAAAUUUGUCAAAUAUUUUCAAUUGUGAGAUUGCCUAAUUUAGGGGGAGUUGAAAUAUAAAAUAAAAUUAAAAAGGAGAAACUCCUAUGUUUUAAAAGAUGUGUAAAAGAGUUACAUCCAAAUGGAGUGUGAAAACUACACCACUUGUAGGAAAGAGCUACCACACUCCGCGUCGUCCGGCAAGUGUGUGAAGCUACCAAUGAAGAUUGAAUUGAGUAACCGAAAAAGGUUGAAAAAAAUGAAUAUUUUAGAAUUUUCGGAGUUAUAAGGUGUAAGUUGAAAAGAUGCUCAUAAGAGCCACCCCGUGCCAUAUUAUGUUAAAUCUCUAUUUUGAACGUGAUACGACAAAUUGGCUGUCAAUUUUGUUGAAUUUUCUAAAAAAAUUUUUUCAUCAACUUGCAUCUUGAUGGUUUUUGAAUUAUUAAAUCACUUUGAUAAUGAAAUUUUGAUGUUUUGAUGGAUUUUGAAAUUUUAUAAUAUCUUAUUUUCAUUAUUAAUAAUUUUUGGAGGUAAAAGCUUAAUUUGUUAUAAAUUUAAUUCAAAUUUGAUGGAUUUUUAAAGCAAAUUUUCGAAAACUGGGAUCGUGUACCGUACACGGAUUCAGUACCGGUACGGGUACUGUAGCCGCGGAUAUAUAUCCGGUUACAGAGCUUUUUGUUCUUUCUCAAAUUUGAACCAAACUUGUUUCUCUCUCUUUCUAAAACUCCCUGGUGUCUUCCUCUUCCAGAUCUACACAUUUCCCUCUGAAAUUUGUGUAGUAUAUUAGCUUGAAUUAAACCGUUCAUCGCAUUCAUGUUUAUUUUUCGAAAAAUUUCGAGUUCAUGCUUAGAUCUCUUGUUUUUUAUCGUUUUUGAGCAAUUUUUGCUGUUAGAUGCAGUGCUUAAGGACAUUAUCUUGGCUUCUAGAACACUUGAAUCACAUCAAAUCACAUUUAUUUUUCGCUGAUCCAUGUUCUAAGCUUUAUUUUUUCAUGUAAUUUCGGGAUUUUUUAUAAAAUGUCAUUUUUAAUGAAAAUUAUUGCAUGAUCUGGUUAGAAAUAGGACUUGUUAUGCAUUCUAAUAUAUUAGAAAUUUUUUCGCAUUUUUACAAGAUUUUUCAAAAUUUUUUCAUGCACGGCUAAUUUUUGUAUAGAAAAAUGGCGUUUUCAUUCAUUUUGCUUUUUGGUGCUAAUGGCUACGAGACGUGACGAGGUGGUGGGAGAGGUCGACGUGGUCCUCUAAGAGGACACGAACAACGGGAGAAGCGUCCGGCUCGGAUCCGGAUUAUCAAGAAAGUCCCAACCCCUGAAGAGGCAUAAGAACUAUUGUUCCAGCUUGACAAGGGCAAAAGGAAUAGCUGGCGAGUCCUCACGUGGCGGUGGUUCUCGUACAAGAGAAACUCGUCGAAGCGUGCUGCGGAGGUUCUCUCUGAGCGACGGGAUGUACAUGACAAGUCGUGUAUUGCGGAGCGUUAUGUCAACUUCACCGAUCUCAUUCAUGACGUUCCUGACUUUGGACCGGUUACUUCAGCGGGUUCCAUUGAGCCGGUUGGCAGAGUCCCUGCUCGUACUCCUUCUGUGUGGAACUCAUUCGUGAGUUCUAUAUUAGACGCGAAGGGUCUUAGCAGAAGAUGAGGAGACCGGGACAUAUGUUUUUGAGACAUUCGGUGGUCAACAGAAAUUGCCGUUACCCCAUAUACUAUUGGAGAGCUUCUGGGAUGAACGUAGACACUGCAGGUCUUCCUUAUACAUCAGGAGGAUUUCAGUCCUUAUCUCAUUGGAUACCAUUGUACGGCUGUCUGCAGAGCUGGAGUGCGAACGAAUCGAGCUUAUGUAGAGUCUAAGGAUCUGCGACCAGAAUAUCAUUUAUUAUCUUUGGUCCUGAGCUAUAAUGUGCAACACACGAUUGGGAAAAGCGAAUUCGUGGGAUCGUUUGCUUUACUGCUUCUUGGUCACCCGGAGCGAUCUCAUGGAUUGAACAUUACCAUUCCUUUUCUGAUAUUGGCAGCGAUGAUUCAUGUUAUUCAGGCUCUGCUCGACGAGAUUCUCCUUCCAUUUCCUCUUUGAUCACACGGAUUCUGCAGGACAGUGGAGUGGAUGUUUCCCUGUGACAAGUACGAUUAUGAUCUUGGUCCUAUUGAUGCUGUAACUUGGGCCAAGUCAGUCAGCACACUAAAAUCAUUUCAGCAAACAAAGGGAUAUCGCAACCAGCUCCUAGCCAGGCACCUCCACCUCGAGCAGAGCGUGAGGGAUCUUCUAGUUCAGGGGGAGUGAUUACUGUGGAAUCACUUCAUCACGAGGUGCGCUCUAUGAAGAAGAAAUUAGCUGAUCUUGCGAGAAAGGUGGAAAUGGGAUGAAGCGAAAUGAUGGAGAAAUGGAUGUAGCAUGAUGAUAUUUUUUGCUGAGCCUACUACUUAUACCAGAUCGACUUCACGACAUCCACUCAUUCCCAGUCUGGUGAUGCUCCUGAGGCUGGGGAUCUGGAGCUGGAGCAGGAGAUGAUGAUGAUGAUGAUUGACGAGGACACUGAGUGAUGUCUUCUUGGGCUCUCUUCUUGUUACUUUAUUAUGCUUACUUUCUAGGACGAUGUUUUAGUUAUGCUUGCUUAUCUUUCCUUUGCAUGUUCUUAUUUUUGUUUGGCCUGUACUAUGACUGGACUACAUCUUAUGCUUUCUAGUAUGUUUUCUCUUUUUACUUGCUUUCUUUUGGCAAUUUUUGACAAAAAGGGGAGAGCAUAGAUGAAGGGGGAGAGCAUGGAUAAACAGGCAUUAAACUGGAGCUGAGGAUGAUGAAUUCAAGAACAAAGGGGGAGAUGUGAACAUUGGAGGAGAAGGUAUAAGAAUUUAAGGCUAAUCAUUUUUGAGUGAUUUUUUUUGCAGGAUUUCAAGACUUCAGACUCCUAAUUGCGUCUAAGUCAUAAGAGUCUGUUUUAGAAGUUUGAUGUAUUCUGAGUUUCAUAUUGUAUUUGGAUUACCGCGAGGGGUUCGAUGUUUUUGGUGAUGACAUUGAACUUCGUUUUCUCUUUAAAUUGUAAUUUUUGAGUUUGUGUGAGUUUUGUCACGAAAUUGCCAAAGGGGAGAUUGUUAAGGAUUUUGUAUUGGCAAGUUUCGUGAAGUGAGUCGGAGUCUUGAAGAACGCGUACAUAUCGUCGAAGAUCGAAGAAUUCAAGAUUUCGAAGAAGUUGGAAAAUAACUCACGAUAUGAAUCACGAUGCUCAGUAAAGUUUUAAUUCAUGUUUAUGGUGAUUCAUACUUAGUUAUAGGCCAUUAGAAUCAUUUAAUCAAAAGUUAGUUGAUUAAAAGUGCUUCGGAAUGUACGGAACUCGAACACAUGCAAAAAUCAAAAAUUGCAUUGUGUACCGGUACAGCAAUCAGCGCGUACCGGUACAGCAUGACUUUGGCUUCGUAUUUCCUGUUCCGUCUCUGUGUAACCGGUGACAGCCUUUCGUGUACCGUACACAGUGUAAAACCGUGAAAACUUUCUAAUUCGACUCUCGAUUGAUUCUAAGUCUAUAAAUAAGUUAUUGGGGUUCUCUAACAAAGCAAGCAUCAUAAGAAUACAUGUUUGAGAAACCCUAGAGGCUCGGAUUUUAUUCUAAACCUAUUUUCUACAAAUUAGCCUCUUUUAGAUCAAAUCGAGAUAUCGUUUGCAUUUCUCUAUAUAUCGAUUUGAUCUCCGCUUCGCCUUGGAGUUUUCUUCCUUGGUUUUCUACGAUACUCCUAAGCGAAGGAUCACAUAAUCAUGAUGAGCUCUUUCAUGCACGGCGUCGUGGAUUCCGCAGUUUUUGACGACGUGCGGUUCGUGGAUUCGGAUCGUGGGCUCGUGGAUUCGAGUGGCGUCGUGGAUUCGGCGUGAUUGAAGCUUCGUGGAUUCGAAGUGGAGGCGUUCGUGGAUUCGGACGUGAGGGCGUGGACAACCCGGAGGGUAGCGCGAAGAUUCAUAGGAGGUUAAGAGAGGUUGAGUCCGUGGAGUCGGUAAUCACCUUGUAAUCUUUUCUCUUAGUGAAUUGUUUUUUCGCGUGUUGGUCCCGUGGGUUUUUCUCCAAGUUGGAGUUUUCCCACGUAAAUCUCGGUGUGCUUUUUAUUUUUCGCAUUUAUUUUUAUUGCAUCGAGAUUUGUGGUUUUUGGCCAUUACACCUAUUCACCCCCCUCUAGGUGAUAGAUACAAUCUAGAUAGAUCCUUGGGCUCCUCAAAACUUUCAUUAUGCUCAAGGAAGGUCGCUUCUCCUUGAGCGAUGAGCUCCGGAGUAGUCAUCUCAACUGGAUUAGGAGCUAGCGUCUCCCCCAGUAGACAGUCCCGUCGGGAUGUAGCUUGCGUCUCCCCGAUACUUGGGAUUUCGUCGAUGAGUUAAUGUUAACCAAAUGGUUAACCAAUUUAAUUGGGUAAUAAUUAUGAACAACAUGCAUGCAUCAAUUCAGAUAUUAUCUACUGUUUCUUUCAGCUUUGUACAGGCAUUGUAGUAGUUAUAUAUUAUAGCUGGUUACUAUAUAUUAUUUUUCUUGUCUACAUAUGUCUGAAUAGACCUAGUGGGUGAGUCGGCGAGGUCGGCGGCCGAACCCACUGGGAACUUUCAGUAGUUCUCACCCCACCAACCAUGCAGGUUCUAGUUCGUGCGGAGUGGUCGAGGAUCGUGACAGGGACCGCGCACUAUAGAUAGCGACAUCUAUUGAGUAUAGUUGUACCUUAUUUAUUUCAUAUGUUUAUAGUUGAUGAAAGCAAAUGUAAAUUAUUCAUUUGAGAGAUGGUAAUGUAGAUAUUGGAAGAAUGAAUGUAAUAAUUAUGCAAGCUUUGUAUUUGAUUUAAAGUAAUCAAAAUACAAUGUAUGAAUGCUUUAGUUAGUUUACUUUCACUUGCUUGAGUUGCUUGCCCUCGUGCAAGCCAUAUAUAUUGAAAUUUUUCUGGGCAUUUCUUUAUACAUGUUUGUUGUUGUUGUUGAGCCUUGGGCGAACAUACAAGGUUCUGUUCUUUCGGCGUCUAUGUACGGGCCCGAAUCGGCCAAAUUGGUGGGUUCGGGGCAUGACAAUAUAUAUAUAUAUAUAUAUAUAUAUAUAUAUAUAUAUAUAUAUAUAUAUAUAUAUAUAUAUGGAGUCGAGCUAGAAUACUAUCGAUAGCAAACGAGCUCCGUUGACGCCACCCAUUUGUUUUCUAUGAUGGAGCCUCCAAAUCGACGAUCGAAACUGUUGAUCAUAAUCUAUAUCACUUGAAGUGUUUAGAAAUCAAAUUUCAUACAUUUUCAAUAUUGUUCUCUUGUCCAUCGAGUGGACACAAAAAUGAACGGCUGAAAAUGAAUAUUUUUUAAAAAAUGAUGAUAGGAGUCUUGUAAUCAAGAUCAAGAGUAUAGAUCUUGUUUUAUAUAGUUUAAAAAAUUUUCUAACAAAAAUUCAAUUGGUUUGGAUAUCUUUACACCGUUAAACGAGAACACGCAUCAUAUCAAUCGUUAAAAUUACAAAUUUUAAAACCCUUUGAUCAUUAGGCAAAUGAUGUAGAAAAGAUUUAAAUUUUGAUUUCUAAACACUUUAACUGGUACAGAUCAUGUUCAACGAUACCGAUCGUUGAUUUGGAGGCUCUAUCAUUGAAAACAAAUUGAUAGCAACGGAGCUCGUUUGCUAUCGAUAGUAUUCUAGCUCAACUCUAUAUAAAUGUAUGUACAAAUAUGUAUGUACAUACAUAUAUAUGGCAGAAACUUUUAGAGGUUGGAAUUUCAUUAUUUCAAUUGGAAUAUGGGCCGAGAUUUUCAUUUUCCCACUCUGGCCUACACCCAACAACCUAUCUCCUAUCAAGGCUCUUAUACACAAUAGCAUAGCCAAUCUAUGCAAUGAAACAAAGUGAGGUAGAGUAGAAUCAUUAGUUAGGGUAGUGGGAUCUAAUUCCUCUCUUUCCGCCUUUUCAAGGUCUUCUUCCUUCAUCCUCCAUCCCCACUACGAGGGCCGACGGGAAUAUGUUUACCUAUUCAGUAGCCAGUUCCCUUUCAGUUCAUUUGGGUAUCCUGGGAAGAUGAAGAGACAAACUUCGGAAUUCAAUUAAAGAGAAAUUCGGCAAGAAGCUUUCCGAUUGGAAAGAUGUCGAACCAAUCUACUUUUGCAUUUUUAUCUUCGCUGCACAGACAAGAAAAAAAGGGUUAAUAAGACAAGCGAGAAGAUCUUGGUCUUUUAUUGGUUACAGUGCAAAAUGUACGGCUAUAAACUAAACGUAGUACUGUUGGCAUUGCUCUUUUCGGAGCUGGUUGCGUUCCAUUCUAAUCAAGUAAAUCACCCAAAGACAUUUAACAAAACUUUGCAGGACAUCCAAUUGAAAAGCCCGCAUACCAUAGCAUCUGUGCGCUCUCGUGCCUACGUAGCUAUCAUAAUAAUAGAAAUAAAAAACAUUGUCCAACUAGCUCAUCAUCGAUCAAAUGUUCGCAGAGAGCUCCGUACGUGGUGGUGGCAAAUCAAUUAAUGGAUCUUUAAUAGCUAGUUUGUCGGCAACCAUAAAAUGAAAUGAUGUGAUGAGGACAACAAAUCACUAAUUAAUCACUGCCCAUAGCUUGCUAGCUAGCUUGCUCCUUUAAAUGAUUAUAUAUCACGAUCGGCCUACCAAUUAAAGAUCAUUUUCCCAACUGCCACCUCCAAGUCCUAGGAUGUAUUAUUCUUUAAUCACAUACGUAGGAAAUUAACCUAAGCUGCUACAAUAUAUAUAUAUAUAUAUAUAUAUAUAUAUAUAUAUAUUUAUAUAUGAUAUGAUCCACUCUGUUAAUAUGAUCUAGAGUAUUAGAAACUUCUAGAAAAUAAAUUUCGUAAUUUUCGAAAUCAUAAUAAAAUCCAUCAAGUGAGCAUAAAUGAACGGUCAAAAUCGAACGACGUCCUAAAAAAAGAUGAUCGGAUCCUUCAAUUCAAGAUCAGAAUUAUUGAUAUUUAUCUAUGUAGUGAAUAGAAUUUUCUAUCAAAAAUUCAAUAAAUUUCGAUUCUUUUAUACCGUUAAACUAGCAAGUAUCUCACACCGGCCGUUAAAAAUUGUCAAAUUUGUGACCUCUUGAUCGUAAGGUAAAUGAUGUCGAAAAAUUAUAAAAUUUAAUUUCUAGAAGUUUUAAAUGGUGUAAAUAACGUUUAACGGUGUGGAUCAUCGAUUCGGAAGCUCUAUCAUCGAAAAUAACUUAUGAGUACGAGGGCGAUCGUACUCAUAAUAGUAUAGUAGCCGGACCCUCUAUAUAUAUAUAUAUAUAUAUAUAUUAACUUGUUGCUGGCCAUCUAUUUGCAAACCCAGUUGUAGUAGUUUGCGGAAAUACUCUGCAGAAGUAGCAUACAUUGUCCGAGUAGUAUGACAAACUUUUUCGUUAAAACGCCCAACAACUGCUCUAUCAGUAGCUAGUUGUCGCGAAAUAUCCGAAUUGAAACUUUAUUUUAUUCUAGGGGUACAGAAGCUGAUUCCUCUAGUAGAAAUCACUGCAACAGAAUGUAGAAGCUGAAGCUAAGAGAAUAAGGGCACCAAAUCACUCAUCCAAGAUAUUAAGUGGCUGAACGGAAGGGAAAACUUCUGAAAGUAACUGUGACCGACGAAUGCAAAUAAAACAUGAAUCUUUCUUAUAGCGAGAAACACGGGAGAUAGACUCUAUAAAGGUCUUUGUUUCUGUUCCUGUGAACUUCCUUAUAAUAAUUAACAUGAAGCACAAUGCUCUCCAAAUGAAUCCUUAGCUAGAGCAUCUUCAUGAAUUAACAUAUUGGUGUUCAGGAAAGGAUUGGCGGUGGGUCCACAUAGAUAAUAUACAGAGGCACAAUUGCAGAUGGCUUUUACUCUCUCUUCGUAGAACAUUUUUUUGAGAAAAAGGUAAUAUGCUACUCGCUUCAUUUAUUGAAAAGAUGAAUUGUACUACAGGAGUGAGGCAGCCGGGCCUCUUAAAAAAAAAAAAAAGAAAAAAAAAAAGUUAAAUAUUAUGAAUGACAUUGAACAAAACCUCCAGCUGUAUAACAUUGAACAAAACCUCCUGCUGUAUGAAUGAGCUCCCUGGAUGGUUAGUUUGUUCAUAAAUACUUUGUUUUUGUUCGCUAUGUUUAUGUUUUCUGUUAUUUUAAAAAUAUUAAUUAAAAUCAUGAUGAACACUUAAAAAAAAAAAAUGUUACAUGAGGGGGCAUCCUAGAAGUCCUCGUUUGAGACUAUUAGAACGUACUGAAUACACUGAUCAUACCUAAUGCAAUUGAUCACGAAUUUAAUAAUUGAUAUCGAAAAUUUUAGUUGUUUUGCAUUUCUCGCUAAGCUUAUUUUCAAAAGAUAAAUACAUAGCAUGCUACCUGGAAGGAAAAAAAAAAAACAAAGAUUGAUGGUUGACGCAGCAGUACAUUAACACUAAUUUGGAAGCAAAGAAGAUAAAAGGGAAAAUUCCGUGACUUCAUCCAAUUACGGUAUGAAGACCCCUCAAUUUACAUAUAGCCAUUCUGAAAUUAUCCCCUUAAUAUUUUUAUUUUUAUUUUAUUUUUCUGUUGGCACAUGGUAACUUAAUUCGAAAUUUUUAGAUUGGUGAUUCAAGUGAAUUAAAUUAAUUUUUUUUAAGAAAUCCAUAGACAAAUUCUCUCAUAUUUCAUUAGUUUGCUAAUUACAGAGCCAUUGAAUUUAAGAAAUUUUUAAAUAACCAGAGUGUUUAUUUUUAUAAAUUGAAUUAUUCUACUAAGCUAAUCCGAUUUUUCUUGGUAAAUGUAAUUGUUCAAUUAGCUAUUGGUCACCGAUAUAUUGUUUCAAUUUUAUUUACUAUUAAGUAACAAAUAAAGUCAUUAAAUUUGAUAGAAUUAAAUUAUGAAUUUUUGAAAAAGAAGCAAAUUUAACUGAUUUAAAUCACACAAUUUGAAAAUUUCAGAAGUUAACCUGUCUCAACAAAAAAAAGUCAAGGGGUUAGUUUCACAAUGGCCUUUAGUUGACGUGUCCACAUACAUACCUUAAUUGAGCGGCUUCAUGGUACUUGUGACUUUAUCAUGUCGCUUUCAAAUUGGUGCUAACUUCAAUUGGUAUUUGAUAUUUUAUUUAUUGUUUAAAAAUAAAUAUACUUAGAAAUGGAAAAAAAAAUUUUAAAUUUCGAAUUUAAAAAUUUGAGUGCUAUUCAUUAAGUUUUUAGCCAACUGUGCGAGAUACGAUAGAUCCUUCUAUAUAAGUUUGGGUUCAGAAAACUUCAAUGAUAUUUGAUAUUUUAUACGAGUACUAUCAUGACGACUUUUUAAUUCUAAUUAAAAAAGGGUUGAAGAAUUUCACAAGAACAUGUGUCAACAUUUAUGGCACUUGUAAUCCUAUCCUAAUGCAAGCUCUUGCUUUACUUAAUUACCACAAAAUAAAAGGUACAAGGACUAAUGCACUUUUGACUUGCAUGGUUAAUCCAUCUACAAAGAAAACCUCUUUGAGCACUCGUUCUCUCUCUCUCUCUCUCUCUCUCUCUCUCUCUAUAUAGGUCAAAUUUUAACCUUCUCUUGCUGAAGUGUAUAUAUAUCUUCCUCACCAACCAAUAUGAAAUUACUGCUUUAAUUUAUUAUUAUAUAAAUAAUUAAGUCCCUAAUCACGAUCUUAUUUGUUUCCACUUUUCGUAGGAAGAUCAAAGAGGAUUAGGAUGCCAAUUUUGGAGAUCUUCCAAAUCACAAGAAAGGCCCACCAAAUGGCGAAUUUCGUUCUUGAAUAGACGUAAAUUAUUGUAUUACUGACCGCGGACGAUCCUAAUCUCGCCAUUUAACCAUUAUAUUAUCUUAAUUCGUAUCUUUCCAAACUGCUUAAUUGCUUUUGAGUCAAAGUUAAUUGCGGUGAUAUCUCACCUUUUAGGAUACGUUCAAAGCUUGUGUUAAUGAUCCACGCAAUGUGCACGAACGCAUUUCAAAUUAAGAAUGAUGAUGUACAGCAAAAGACAUUAUUAGCUCGCUAGCCCGUUUCCAUUAAUAAAGAAAAGGAUGAAGAGAGUCCUGGAAUUGAUCCCAUGACAUAAAUAUAUAUAAUACGCCCCAAAUUAAUUAGUGCUUAAUUUAAUUUGGGGACAUGACAAUUUAAGUACCACCUAAAAUAGGAGGUACUUUUAAAUCUAUGUAAUCAAAUAGGUCUUUAGGGUCAUACCGCAUUGGAGAAUAAUUCAAACCGCCUAUAAUAGAGCUCAUUGGUCCCUGAAUUAUAAUAAGAAAAUGCUUAGGUGUACACCAAAAAUUGAUUGGGGAUGUGAUCACAAAUUAUUCAUUUGAGAUUUUUUUUCUGGUGAUGUAAUUUCAAAUGGUCCGUUUGAGACUAUGAAAUCUGUUGCCACGUAGGUGUCGAAUCUCACUCCUUGAGAUACCCUCCUUAAUUAGAACUAGUGUAGGUACCCGCGCGAUGCGGCGGGUAGUUACUGCUAAAGUAAAAAAAUUUAUAAAUAAUAAAAUAUGAGCAUAAGUAAAUUAAAUUAUAGUAUGCCAGUAUUAAAAUAUUAGUUCACAAUGGAGAGCAUUGUAGUAAAAUUUUAGAAAGAGUAAAAUAUCAACAAAAGUAAUAGUUAUAUGCAGUGAGCUAUAGCCAACACAAAAACUUGAGUGACAGGCAAUAAAAGCAAAGACAAUAGAAGAGGCCACUGCAAAAUUUUGAAAAAAAAAUCACUUCUCAGCUUCAGAUAUAAUUGAACUGCGCUGCUGAGGAGGAAAAAUCAAAGGAACCUUCCUAACAGUUUACCGGAUCGACUCGGAUUGUCCAUGGAACAUUCCAUAUCAUCAAUCUCUCAAAUCAAACAUUAAAAAAAAAAAGGAAAAAAAAAGAAGAAGAAAGCAAUUCAAAUUAAUAUUUUGUUGUGCAUACUUCACAGCCUACCAUUCCAUUCCUUAAACAAAUGAAAUAGAAGGAAAAACUACCAAUCGAAUGGGAAAUUAGAAAAAACGAAGCAAAUAUUUUGAUGCUACAAAAAGAAUAGGGCAAUAACAUGAGAAGUAGACCAUCAAGAGAAAAUAAUAAUCUGGAAGAAUAUUCCAGGAGCCAACCAUCAAGAUUGACUGUCACGCCCCGGGACCGAUACCAAUUUGGCCCGACCCGAGCACGUCAAACAGACGCCGAACGGACAGAGUUUCCCCUAUCCGCCCAAGGCUCAUCACAUGUACAAAUUCAAACAAGAAAUGCACUAGCGGAAACAUACACAAACAGCUUAGACGAGGGUAAGCAAUAGCUAUUAGUGAAAGAAAGGAAAACUAAACAAUUACUUGUACUAUGAUUCAUUUUUGAUCAUAUACAUUGCAUCCAUUUACAUUCAUGAUUCUUGGUACUUCAUUAUACAUUGCAUUCAUUGUUCAUUUUCGAAUUCCUUACAAUUCAUUCUAUCAUUUCUUUCUUACAUCACAUUUACCUCAAAAUACACAUUACAUUUUUUUCUUUACAUCACUAGUCAUCAAAUACAAAAGAUGAACAUAGGGUGGAUACUAACAAAAUGUAACCCAACUCUGGUGGCCUCUGUCUAAGGCGCGAUACCUUUACCUCGGUCGCUCGCCGGCUCUGUGGAAUAGUGGGGUGAGAACUACAACAAAGUUUCCAGUGGUUUGGCCUCAACAUCACCGACUUUCCCACUAGACUAACUCAGGCAUAAUAGAAGGAAUAAGCUGCAUAUAGUAACCAAUCUAUACAUGACGCUAAUAUGCCUGAGCAAUAAAGCCAGAAAUAUGCUCAACAUUAAAUAAAUGCAGAUUAUGCAAAUUUCUUUGUUCUUUUCACGUUACUCUUUGUUCUUUGCUCUUUGUUCUUUAUUCUUUAUUCUUUAAUCUCAAGGCUAACCCGAAGUAUCGCCACUUAACUCUUCACAUUAAGUCCAUCAUCGCAGGAACUCACUCGCUAGGACCGUCCUUCGGGUUUACUCCAAACCCGUGAUGCAUAACUCGGAGCGCAUCGCCCGAGGGGAGCGACCGCCCUCGAGCACGGAACUCAUAGCAAGUAUGAUCAUAUCCUUAACUCAAAGGAUUUAUAGGUUCAAUCUUGACUUUACACUAGCUUUAGUGUUCAUUGCAUCAUUUAUGUUGCUAACUCUAGCAAUUAUAUUCUUUACAUUCUUUACUUUGCUACCUCUAGCACUUCACGUUCUUUACUCCCCACAUUACUUUAACUUUAAACAUUGUCAUUUUCAUCAUUCUUUACAAUACAUUGUUCUUUACCUCACACUGUCUUUAGUGUCAUUUCACUUUAACUUGUAUCGAAGCCACUCGAUCUAUGUCAUUGUGUCACUCUGUUCUUUUGCUCACUUUGGGUGCUCACUUUUCUCUCAUGCAUACACAUAGGGUUUUACAUUCAUAAGGUUCUCAACAAUCACAUUAGACAAGUUGUACUCACAAUCAUGCAACAUCUCGUUCUCAUCAUCACUUUACCCUAAAAUGCAUGCAACAAUUACGUAACAUAUGCUCAAUUGAAUGACACAUUAGGCAUAGAGAGAAGUUCAAUGAGUUUGAGAAGCACCACCCACCUUGUAGGUCUAUUUAGGUGCUCUGAUGAUUUUCUUGAGAUUUUUAGACCUUUCGUUCUUCACCUGCGGCAUAACGAAGCCAAGUUAGGCUUAUUUGGCCAUAACUUUACAUUGGCUUUUCGUAACAUUAAUCCGAGCGCACCAACGCGUCGGAAAUACCCCCAAUUAGGUUUCUAGAGGGUCAAUUGCACUUAGAAAUCCCAAUGAGCAAAAGCCCCAAUUUGGUGCCCUAGCUCCAAUACAUAUAUCAAACCUAGGGUUUGAUCUCAUUGGGAAGCAAAAGUAGCUUCAAUAUACUCUAAAGAGUUCAUCUAAACCAUUCCUAGCUCAUUCCAAACCCUAGUUUGGAUUUCACCAUUAGAGGUGUUGAAGCUCACCUUCAAGCUUCACCUCUAUACCAAACCAUGGUUUUGAUCUCAAAAGAAGCAAAAAGAAAGCUUCAAUGACUCUAAAUAAUUCAUUAAAACCAUUUCUAGGCUCAUUCAAAACUCAUUCUAGGGUUUUACUAUACUAGGGAUCAAAGUUUACCUCAAAGCUUUCCCUAAGAUGCUCCAAGGAGGGAGAAGAAGAGGUAGGCUCACUACUUGAUCUUCUUCUUCACCUUCUUUUCCUUCUUUUCCUUCCUUUCUUUCUUUCUUCUUCUUCUCCUUUGUCUUGUAGAGAGAGAGGGGGAGAAAAGAGAGUGUGUGUGAGGGAGAGAAUGAGAGAAAAGGCUCUCUCAGCCCCCAACAAAACCCAUGGGUUGCAAAAAUGCAAAUAAACCCCUCAACUUUUACUUUAAUACACUGCCCGAACUGGACAGUUCGCGCAGCCGGGGACCGGUCUCUCCUUCAGGGACCGGUUCCCGAAAGUCGUCCCAGCGCAGCCAGAGCUGCUGCGCGCAGUGCAACUGGUCUCUCCUUGGGGGACCGGUCUCUCGGGGACCGGUCUCUCAGGCAGGGACCGGUUCCCGAGAGCUGGUUUCUCAGGACUUAGCCUAUUUUUCGGCUGUCUCAUUUCUCGCGCGUUCGGGAACCGGUCUCUCCUACCAGGGACCGGUCCCCGAGAGCUGAAAAUCUGCAGUUUUGCAGAAUUUGAUUCUUUAGCUCUCGAAAACCUUCCACAACACACUUUUGAUCGUUUUAACAUCUUCGGACUUUCCGAAGUGUACCACCCUCGUACUUUGGUCAAUUUGACUAAAGUUCGAUAUUUAUUUUCCGAAUUUUCGGUAUAUUACAUUCUCCACCCGUUAAAAUAAUUUCGUCCUCGAAAUUACGCAUACCUUAACUCGUCGACUCGAACAGAUGCGGAUAUUCUCGCCGCAUGGUUUCCUCGAGCUCCCAAGUGGCUUCUCGCACAGCAUGGUUGCUCCACUGGACCUUUACAUAAGGGAUUUUGCGACUCCGCAACCUCUUCACUUCUCGAUCGAGGAUGCACACCGGGUACUCCUCAUAAGACACAUCCUCACGUAGUUCCACGGGCUCCUACUCCAAUACAUGUGUCGAAUUGCGAAUAUACUUUCGAAGAUUUGACACAUGAAACACAUUGUGAACUCCCGCGAGUCUCGGUGGUAGUGCGAGCUUGUACGCCACAGCACCCACGCGCUCUAAUAUCUCGAAUGGUCCGACGUAUCGGGGGCUUAGUUUCCCACGGACCCCAAAUCGUUUGACUCCUCGCAUUGGCGAUACUCUCAAAAAUACACGGUCUCCAACCGCGAACUCUAAAUCNNNNNNNNNNNNNNNNNNNNNNNNNNNNNNNNNNNNNNNNNNNNNNNNNNNNNNNNNNNNNNNNNNNNNNNNNNNNNNNNNNNNNNNNNNNNNNNNNNNNNNNNNNNNNNNNNNNNNNNNNNNNNNNNNNNNNNNNNNNNNNNNNNNNNNNNNNNNNNNNNNNNNNNNNNNNNNNNNNNNNNNNNNNNNNNNNNNNNNNNNNNNNNNNNNNNNNNNNNNNNNNNNNNNNNNNNNNNNNNNNNNNNNNNNNNNNNNNNNNNNNNNNNNNNNNNNNNNNNNNNNNNNNNNNNNNNNNNNNNNNNNNNNNNNNNNNNNNNNNNNNNNNNNNNNNNNNNNNNNNNNNNNNNNNNNNNNNNNNNNNNNNNNNNNNNNNNNNNNNNNNNNNNNNNNNNNNNNNNNNNNNNNNNNNNNNNNNNNNNNNNNNNNNNNNNNNNNNNNNNNNNNNNNNNNNNNNNNNNNNNNNNNNNNNNNNNNNNNNNNNNNNNNNNNNNNNNNNNNNNNNNNNNNNNNNNNNNNNNNNNNNNNNNNNNNNNNNNNNNNNNNNNNNNNNNNNNNNNNNNNNNNNNNNNNNNNNNNNNNNNNNNNNNNNNNNNNNNNNNNNNNNNNNNNNNNNNNNNNNNNNNNNNNNNNNNNNNNNNNNNNNNNNNNNNNNNNNNNNNNNNNNNNNNNNNNNNNNNNNNNNNNNNNNNNNNNNNNNNNNNNNNNNNNNNNNNNNNNNNNNNNNNNNNNNNNNNNNNNNNNNNNNNNNNNNNNNNNNNNNNNNNNNNNNNNNNNNNNNNNNNNNNNNNNNNNNNNNNNNNNNNNNNNNNNNNNNNNNNNNNNNNNNNNNNNNNNNNNNNNNNNNNNNNNNNNNNNNNNNNNNNNNNNNNNNNNNNNNNNNNNNNNGGCCACUCCCGGCUUACCACUUCACAACCCGAAUUCGUGCAUUUCCUUUUCGGCAAUAGGCGCGUUGAGGCGUAAUUGCCGUUCGCUAAGUUCUGCGCCGAUUUUCUUACUCAAGGCAUCGGCCACAAAUGGCUUUUCGCGGGUGGUUAUAAUAUGGUGACAGUCUAGUCCUUAGCAAUCUAACACCGCCGCUGUCGCAUGUUCAACGCUUUCUGGCUGAACAAGACUUUAGACUCUUGUGAUUCGGUGUAGUACCUCACAAUGUUCACCGUACAAGUAAUGCCUCCAAAGCUUAGCGCAAAGAUCACCGCGGCUAACUCGGAGCGUCGUGAAUCGGGUAGUUCUUCUCGUAGCACCUUUAAUUGCGCGAUGCUAUGCAAUAAUCGCCCAAUUUUGCAUUCAAACACACACCACGAGACCAACAUAAGAGCAUCACUAACACUACAAAAGUCUCUCGCCGGACGUCGUCGGCAAGCAAGGCACCGUGCGGUUGGUCGACGUCACCUGUUCUGUCGCAACUCUUCGAAGCUCGAUCGCAACGUAGCUCCAACAUGACAUUUACUCCUUUUUAUGCAUUUUUUGUAGUGCGUUCAGUUAGUGAAGUGGUUAUUUUUGGACCCCUCACGAGACCGCCGAUUGUAGCCUUGCCCGUUGACGUCCAAGAAAACUGCGAUCUCUCGCGUUCGAGAUCGGCCGACGGCCAAUCCUUGAUCUCCUUUCCACUUUCUUCGGGAGUGUACCGAACUCCGUCGCCGAUACCACCUGGUUUCCCAAAAAGUGUACCUCCCUUUAGGCGCAACAAGUCACAUUUCUCUUCAACUUUGCAUAUAGUUCUUCUCCUGUUGAGUAUUUGCCAACACAGCUUCAGACCAGCUCUUCAAUGCUCCUCUUCCACUAUAUUCGAAUAAACCAAUACGUCGUCUAUAAAUACCACGACGCAUCGAUCCAACAUGCCGUCUAAAGACUUCGAUUAUCAAGUUCCAUAAACUGCUUGCCGGGGCGUUAGUAAGCGCCAAACGGCAUUACCGUGAACUCAUAAAGGACCUGAAUCGGGUACGGUACGCCGUUUUGAUGCACAUCCUUCGGCCUGCAUCUUUAAUUGAAUCGCUCCCCGAUUGGAAGAUCUAUCUUCGAAUACCCUGGCCUUGCAAACUGAUCAAAUAGAUCGUCAAUCCUCGGCAACGGGUACUUGUUCUUUAUUGCUCAACUUUGUUCAACUCAGCCGAUAAUCUAGCCAGAGUCGAAGAUAACCUGUCGCCAUCCUUUUCUUCACAAAUAGCACCGGAUUCUCCCCACUGGUGACACACUCUGGCACCUCCGAAGCCCCUUUAUCGAGCAAGUCUUUGUAGUUGACCUUUAGUCCUUUUUAACUUCUACCGCGUGCCAUUCUAUACGGGGCCUUCGAAACUGGUUCGCCCCGGAUCAGGUCAAUGCAAACUCAAGCUUGCUGCCGUGUCCUGGUGGCACUCUCCGGUAACUCCGCCGGAAAUACAUCCGGGACUCGCACACACUACUCGGAUAUCCCCCAACUCUGGCGUACUCCUUUCGAGCUCCACCAUGGUUGCCAAAUUAGGCCUUACACCCUCUUUGAUCAUUUUUCUUCGCCUUAGGCUCACCGACGAUAUAUGCGGUCGCCGCUGAAGCGGUCCUACUUUUGCACGCUUGGUAGACUAACUCUUCUUGAUUAGGCCUCACAACAUGUUGAUCACCUUGCUUUACACAAUCCCUAAUGACUUGCCAUAGUACUUGGGAGAGCCAGUUGGUCCUUUCAAGAUACGUCGAUCCCCACAUCUGAUCUAGCACAUAGCAAGAGAUCAAUCGGGCAUAAUCCAAUCGCCUAUUUGCACUGGACCGCCAAACACUCGAUUAUGCGACAAAUUUCGAAUGAAUGUUCGGCGCAUUUACCCACCAUUUAUAAUCCUUUGUAUACCAUCUCUAUUGCAUGCGUUGCAAAUGAAGUGCUAAUGAAUGAAAUGAGAUGCGCCUGUAUACAACACUUGCUUCUAGCUCUAGUGCCUUUAUCACAUCUAUACCUGCCCACGACGUCGUGUCGGGUCGCUGUAGGUUGUUGCCAUCUUUUCCACCUGUCCGGCAAAGUUUCUCGACCGCUAUGGCUUACUCAGUCGGAUCCCUAGCGGCUGUCGCGGUUAGCUGGCGUGCGCAGUGCCAAGGUCGACAUCCGCCAUUGGAUCAUGGGGUGGCACCUCGCCCAAGCAUGGUCUCAGGAGAUAGACGGAUGUGAAGCCGCCGCGUCGCGCGCGACGACGUCCCUGUCGCGGCACUCCGAAUAAGUAUGUCCGCACGUCAUAGGCCACACUAUGAACACCUUGCGUCUCGCUGCGUGCAAGUCGACACUUGUGGCUCACCGCCACAUACUAUACACAUCGAUGGCGUUCUCAAGUUCCUGGACUGCUGUCCGCGGCCUAGAUACCGAGGGGGACAUCUCGUUGUGCCGGCACACAUUUCGGUUUCUUAGUAUUUGGCCGCGCCCCAGGGCAGCGGCCGCGUUCUCUUCUUUCCUUUUGUUCCUUCGACUGCGAAUCAGCUUGCCCUCUUUCACGUACAUGGGCGCUACGUUGCUCCGCCACAAUCAAAUCGAUCAAAGACCUCCGCAAAGGUCGACAACUUCAAAAUCGCACCUUUCAUAAAUUCGGGCUGAUCCUCGCCAAGCAACCAAUCCGCCCGAUCCGAUCAUCCACAACAACGUCUGGGACACGAUCGAUGAAUGUGAAGGAAUUCCUGCUCUAUUCUACCCACGAUCGAUCGCCCUGUCUCAACUGCGGACUUUCUGUAGCUUCCGCUUGACCCGAUGCGGAAGUAGUUCGCGAACACGCUUCUGAUAACUCUUCCAAAUGCUUAUGACGCACUCGGUAGAUCGGCAGGAUACAUCUUGUUUUCACUCGCUUCUCACCACACCUUUGCGCGUUUCUCAAUGACAAUAGGUGGCGAGUACACUUUGGUCUUUUCCGAGUAUUUAGGUUCUCGUAGAGCAUCUCCAUCGAGUCGAUCCACGACUCCACCAACCGCCCGGCUCCAACCAAACCGCCUUCAAGUAGGUGGAUCGAAAUUCUUGAGGCUGAAUGAGAUACGCCGAAAGUGCGACUCGUCGCCUCCGCAUCGGGACUAAAUUGCGCGCGUAUCGGAUUCGAAGUUCCCGAUUGCCACGGUACUACGUAACUGAACAGCUGCAUGCUGCCGCCGCUCCCUCAACAACACUCGGCACUAUACCACAGGGGAGCGGCGACCAUGCUCGACAUCGCCUGGCGCGCCGCUGAGCGCUCCAAGGUCUCCUGCGAGCUGAUGAAUCUGUUCCCCUUGGCGUUGAACAGACUCCGCUUGUUGCCGCGCUACGCCAAUAAGCGCGGCCAUUUGCUCCUUAAGCUCUCCGUCGCCACUUGCUCCGGAUCGCUCGGGCACCGCAUUCGUUUCCCCCGGCAUCGACCUUGUCUGCGAUCGACGUCGAGGUGCCAUCGCUUCCUGUAAAGAAGCAACUCGCAUUAGUCACUUGACCAACAUUACAUGGCCAUACUCAAUUAGGCGAAAGCAACAUGCACAUUCAUCCUUGCCUCAAGCGUCAUGUCGUCGGCCGCCCGACACAACACUAAAAGUAGAGGAUAAACGAAAAUUAAACUUAGCCUCUAAUCACAUUAGAGACGUCCCUACUUAACCCAAUCACAUGCUUUCGCUAAC
rnacentral:lncRNA from 1 species